rnacentral:rRNA from 1 species
UACGUAGGGUGCAAGCGUUGUCCGGAAUCACUGGGCUUAAAGCGCGUGUAGGCGGGACGGCACGUCGGUCGCUGAAAGCCCCCGGCUCAACCGGGGAACGGGCGCCGAUACGACCGUCCUGGAGGGACGUAGGGGGACCUGGAACUUCCGGUGGAGCGGUGAAAUGCGUUGAGAUCGGAAGGAACGCCCGUGGCGAAAGCGAGGUCCUGGACGUUUUCUGACGCUGAGACGCGAAAGCCAGGGGAGCGAACAGG